UGCAGUCCACCCGACCACCCUGACAGGAGCAAGGGUCGGGGCACGCCAAUGACCUGUGACCUCCGAGUAAGAAAAGACACAGGAGCAGACGUCCUCUGGAGACGAAUUUCCUUCUUCUGGCUGAUUUUUAGAAGAAAAAUGUGGCGAGUGUGACAGCUGGCUCACACUGAUAAACACUGCUGUCAAUACUGCAACAGGAACGUUGGUGCAGACACUCUAUAUUAUAUCCAUGCAUCCUCUGCCAUACGGGAUGACGACGCUGUGAGCAGAGGAAGGAAAAAUGUCUGCAGGAGAUAAACAUGAAUCAGCAGAUCAUGUUCCUGCAGAAGCUUCGUCUUCCAGCCCAGCUGAUGUGUGGAAAUGAUGAAGGACACAGUGAUGUGCUCACUGGACUCACACUCUAAAAAUAAAACAACAAUGAGUCAGAAAAAACAACAGCCUGACAAGAAGAGGAGUUUAUUUAUCACACCUUUGCAAAAUGGGACACAAAGACUGAGCUCACAGCCUUCAGGGCUGUACAGGUCAUCAGCAGCAGUAAAGUCAACACACACACACACAUGCGCACACACACACACAGUCACCUGCACACACACUGCAGCCUUAGCUCACAUGGAUUUUUCACUACGUUAAGUGAACAACGAUAAGUUUAAAACAGAAGCACAGACGUGGUAUUGGCUCCUCAUCACUUAUUUCCCAUAAUGCCGUGGUGAUGACGCAAACAGCACGCUGGAGGCAUUAAAUACAAGCACAAGGAAUUGGAUAAAAAGCAGUAAAAAAUAGGCCCAAAGCUUCCAGGAGAUAUGAGUAAUGACAGCAUGCGCACACAUGCACUCUUUAAUGCACAAACCCUUGGUUUAGCUGUUAGCAGUGAGCGCAUUUUAAGCCCAGACUUCAUGUUAAAAAACCUGGAAAAAGAUGUUUACACUGACCUUCAUUACACUAAAUGUUAAUGAAGAAAUUCACAGCAAAUGUUUAAUUUCAAUGAAUUGGAACUUCUUCAAACGGGGAAAAUAGGGGAAAAUGGACAGAAACCUGGAGUUGAAGAAAUAUGAUACACUCGCAUAUCCAA